GAUUUAAACUGUUUCUUUUUUUUUGUUGUUUGUUUGACUCAUUCAUUGUUGUGUAUUUAUAACACAAAUAUCUUGAAAAAAAAACAACCAACUAAUCUGUCAUGUAAUUGCUGGUUGAUAACUUGGCAGUGUGGACAGAAAGAGAUGCAAGUUGGAUUUAUAGGGCAUGUUGAGUAUUUGGCUCAAACUGUCUAAUGUGUGUUUGAAAGUAAAUGAAAUGUUUGUGUGCAAUACAUGGUGAUGUCUGGUCAGCUGUUUUGGACUUCUAUAUUUUAUACAUACAGUUUGUUUGAGUUGACACGAUAGUUGGUCUGUAUUUCAACCAGUGUAUUGUGAUACUUGCCAGUUUCUUGUCACUCCCACAUUUCAUGACAUUAGCUUUAACUAGUGUUACCUUGGAGGAUUUCUUUUUUUGAGUACCUGUCUUCCCCCCUCCACUUGUUGUAGGUACACUUGGAGUUAGGAAAAGAUGAAAUGCCCUACUUGAUCAAAAUUGUUUCAUGGAUUCUAUUUGGAACUGAAAAUGUUUGUGUGUGUAAGAGGUUGGUCACUGAAAUGAUUUGAAUAAACUGCCUUGUUUUUUUAAUGUGUAGACAAUGACAACAGAACAAAACCAACACAAAUCUUGUCAUAUAGUGUAUCAGUAGUUUCUUAUUGAUCUAGUUCUAGCUCUAUAUAUCUAGUGUGUGUGUAUGGAUGUCUUAAGUCUAUCCUGUAAAGGUUGUUGAAGGAUAGAGCUGUCUAAUUAUUUGUAUAUAUUUGGUAAAAAAAAAUAAUUUUUGUGGCUUGUUUUAAAUCUCCUCCAUAUUGAUUGCAGCAAACAUUUUCAUUUAGUGCCAUAGCAGCCGAUGGAUUUGUAUGUGUCUCUAGGUUGUGGAAAGGCAAAUUUGUGUUGUUUUUUUACAGGAGUAUUACAUUUUAAGAAAAGGGGGAUCCACAGGGCUGUCUUAACUGAAUGAUGUGACAUGCCUUGUACAUAGGUGACUAUACAGGCUGCUAGUAUUGUAAAGUCA